rnacentral:rRNA from 1 species
CCUACGGGAGGCAGCAGUGGGGAAUAUUGGACAAUGGGGGGAACCCUGAUCCAGCGACGCCGCGUGAGUGAAGAAGUAUUUCGGUAUGUAAAGCUCUAUCAGCAGGGAAGAAAGAAAUGACGGUACCUGACUAAGAAGCCCAGGCUAACUACGUGCCAGCAGCCGCGGUAAUACGUAGGGGGCAAGCGUUAUCCGGAUUUACUGGGUGUAAAGGGGGCGUAGACGGCGAUGCAAGUCUGAAGUGAAAGGCGGGGGCCCAACCCCCGGACUGCUUUGGAAACUGUAUGGCUGGAGUGCAGGAGAGGUAAGUGGAAUUCCUAGUGUAGCGGUGAAAUGCGUAGAUAUUAGGAGGAAUACCAGUGGCGAAGGCGGCUUACUGGACUGUAACUGACGUUGAGGCUCGAAAGCGUGGGGAGCAAACAGGAUUAGAUACCCGGGUAGUC